CGCACUGUUCGCACCCUUGCCUCCCCCUCUCCAUCGAGCCCAGACCCCCAGGUGGAGCAUCACCACCAGGAUUAGGGCCUAGAUAAACCAGAGAUGCAUGUUAGCUACCGCUGGGGAGAUGCAGACACACGUACAUACACAGACACAGCCGUCCACACACAGCCACAGCCGUCCACACACAUAGCCCACAUACAGCCACAGCCAUAUACACACACAGCCACAGCUGUCCACACACAGACACAGCCGCACACUGAGCCAUUCACACACAGCUGCACACACAGCCACAGCCGUCCACACACACAGCCCACAUACAGCCACAGCCAGCCACACACACAGCUGCACACACAGCCACAGCCGUCCGCACACAUAGCCUCACAUACAGCCACAUACAGGCACAGCCAGCCACACACACAGCUGCACACACACCCGCAACCGUCCGCACACACAGCCACAGCCAUCCACACACAGCCACAGCCACACCGUCCGCACACACAGCUGCACACAGCCACAGCCGUCCACACGCAUAGCCUCACACCCAUCCACAAUCAUCUGCACACACAGCCUCACAUACAGCCACAACCAGCCACACAAACACACACAGAGAGCCAUCCACACACAGGCACAGCCAUACACACACACCGCACACACAGCCACAGCCGUCCACACACAGACGCACACACAGCCACAGCCAUCCACACACACAGCUGCACACACAGCCACAGCCGUCCGCACACACAGCCGCACACACAGUCACAACCGUCUGCACACACAGCCACAGCCAUUGAAAUACACAGUCACAGCCAUCCACACACACAGCUACAGCUGUCCAUGCAGCUGUUCACACACACAGCCACAGCCAUCCACACACACAGACCCACACACAGCCACAGCCGUCCGCAUACACCGCCACAGCCAUUGAAAUACACAGCCAACCACACACACAGGCACAGCCAUCCACACACAUAGGCAUCUGCACACACAGCCGCAACCGUCCAUACAGCUGUCCACAACACAGGCAUCCACACACACAGCCACAGCCGUCCAUACAAGCAUCCACACACAGCCACAGCCAGCCGUUCACACACACUGC
rnacentral:lncRNA from 1 species